CUGUCCUUGACUCAUUUUUGAGGUUGAUGCUUUUUGUGAGACAAGGUGAAACCAGAGGAUAAAUACUAUUGGAAAAAGACAAAGGCUGAGAAAAUACAUGCCUCCAAACUGCAGUUCUCUUUUGGAAUGAACUUCCCACCUUCAUCUUCAUUUGGAAAUUUGAGAGAUGAUCCUGUCACACUAGCUUUACUCUGAAAAGUAGCAGGUUCCAUGAGGGAAGCAUGUGAUUUGGCAACUUAUUUCAGAGCAUGCAGAUUAAAAAAAAAUUGUCUGGUUACACAGAUA
rnacentral:lncRNA from 1 species